rnacentral:rRNA from 1 species
UACAGAGGUCUCAAGCGUUGUUCGGAUUCAUUGGGCGUAAAGGGUGUGUAGGUGGCGCCGUAAGUCGGGUGUGAAAUUUCGGAGCUUAACUCCGAAACUGCAUUCGAUACUGCGGUGCUUGAGGACUGGAGAGGAGACUGGAAUUCAUGGUGUAGCAGUGAAAUGCGUAGAGAUCAUGAGGAAGACCAGUGGCGAAGGCGGGUCUCUGGACAGUUCCUGACACUGGAGACACGAAGGCCAGGGAGCAAACGGG